rnacentral:rRNA from 1 species
AACGAACGCUGGCGGCAGGCUUAACACAUGCAAGUCGAGCGCCCCGCAAGGGGAGCAGCAGACGGGUGAGUAACGCGUGGGAACGUACCUUUUGGUUCGGAACAACUCCGGGAAACUGGAGCUAAUACCGGAUAAGCCCUAACGGGGAAAGAUUUAUCGCCGAAAGAUCGGCCCGCGUCUGAUUAGCUAGUUGGUGAGGUAACGGCUCACCAAGGCGACGAUCAGUAGCUGGUCUGAGAGGAUGAUCAGCCACACUGGGACUGAGACACGGCCCAGACUCCUACGGGAGGCAGCAGUGGGGAAUAUUGGACAAUGGGCGCAAGCCUGAUCCAGCCAUGCCGCGUGAGUGAUGAAGGCCUUAGGGUUGUAAAGCUCUUUUGUCCGGGAAGAUAAUGACUGUACCGGAAGAAUAAGCCCCGGCUAACUUCGUG